UUUGACAUGGCAGGAAUCCUUUAGAGAUAGAGGAGUGCUCGAAAGAGAACCUGCACACAGGUGCUGCAUGGCUGUCGUCAGCUCGUGUCGUGAGAUGUUGGGUUAAGUCCCGCAACGAGCGCAACCCUUGCCAUCAGUUGCUACGAAAGGGCACUCUGAUGGGACUGCCGGUGACAAACCGGAGGAAGGUGGGGAUGACGUCAAGUCCUCAUGGCCCUUAUAGGUGGGGCUACACACGUCAUACAAUGGAUGGUACAAAGGGUCGCCAACCCGCGAGGGGGAGCCAAUCCCAUAAAGCCAUUCGUAGUCCGGAUCGCAGUCUGCAACUCGACUGCGUGAAGUCGGAAUCGCUAGUAAUCGUGGAUCAGAAUGUCACGGUGAAUACGUUCCCGGGUCUU
rnacentral:rRNA from 1 species